rnacentral:lncRNA from 1 species
AAAUUGUUCUCCUGGUUCUGUUCACUCACUUUCUAUCAGAACGUAGAAAUCUCCCAAGAUUUCUUUCAAACUUUCCAUUUCAUAAUAUUUACAUACCCAGACUUGUUCAGCCAUCUCCAAAUUGAAGGGUGGCUAAUUCUUUGCUAUCUUAAGAAAGUUAUAAAUAUUUUUGUACAUACUUAGAGAGUUUUUCCUUAUAAUUAAUUCCUCCCUUAAUCUGUCCUUUUAAUUAUCCCUUCCUCUUUCUCCUCUUUCCCUCUCUUUUUUGAGUGAAAUAUAUUUCUGUACCCAACUGUUUCUAUGUGUAUUAUUCCAUCAUUUUACUAUUUUAGAUGAGAUGAAAGCUGACUGAUUCCUCUUUCCAUUAUUUUCUUAAGAUCAUUAAUAUACAACAGAAUCACUUCCAAGCCUUGCCUAUUUAGGCUCCUGUGAGAGAAUAAUAUUGGAGAACAACCUGCAAACAGAUGCAAUGGAUGGAACUUUGAAGAGCUGUCCAUCAAGGAGCAUUCCAGAGGACAAUGUGACCUGGAGAAAAUCCAAACAAACACUGAAAAGGAAUGCAGUAGAGAGAGAGUCAUGAGAGCAAUCUGAUUGGAAGUCUGAUUUGGUUUCCUCAUCUGGAAAAUGAAAGGGUGCCAAAAACUUGGAAACACUUUUAUGAAGCGAUAUGAAGGGAAGAGAGCAGAACCAGGAGAAUGGUGUACACAGUAACAACAAUAACAUAUGAUGAUCAACUGUGAAAGACAACCAUUAUCAACAAAGCUAGGAUCCAGGACAGCUCCAAGAGAUUCAUGACAAAAUAAGAUAUCUGCUGCUAUAGAAGGAACAGAUGGAAUCCAAAUAAAAACUGAAACAUACCAUUCUUUACUUUAUUU